rnacentral:rRNA from 1 species
UACAGAGGGUGCGAGCGUUGUCCGGAAUCACUGGGCGUAAAGGGCGCGUAGGCGGUCUCUUAAGCGUGCGGUGAAAGCCCGGGGCUCAACUCCGGGUCGGCCGUGCGAACUGGGGGACUGGAGCGUAUCAGAGGCGGGCGGAAUUCCGGGUGUAGCGGUGGAAUGCGUAGAGAUCCGGAAGAACACCGGAGGCGAAGGCGGCUUGCUGGACCUGGUCUGACGCUGAGGCGCGAAAGCGUGGGGAGCGAACAGG